UACAUGGGGUGCAAACGUUGCUCGGAAUCAUUGGGCGUAAAGCGCGCGUAGGCGGUUACUUAAGUCGAAUGUGAAAGCCCUCGGCUUAACUGUGGAAGUGCAUCCGAAACUGAGUAGCUAGAGUACGAAAGAGGGUCGCGGAAUUCCCGGUGUAGAGGUGAAAUUCGUAGAUAUCGGGAGGAACACCGGUGGCGAAGGCGGCGACCUGGGUCGAGACUGACGCUGAGGCGCGAAAGCGUGGGGAGCAAACAGG
rnacentral:rRNA from 1 species